rnacentral:rRNA from 1 species
CCUACGGGGAGCAGCAGUGGGGAAUAUUGGGCAAUGGGCGCAAGCCUGACCCAGCAACGCCGCGUGAAGGAAGAAGGCUUUCUGGUUGUAAACUUCUUUUAAGAGGGGAGUGCAGACGACGGUACCUCUUGAAUAAGCCACGGCUAACUACGUGCCAGCAGCCGCGGUAAUACGUAGGUGUCAAGCGUUAUCCGGAUUUACUGGGUGUACAGGGCUUGUAGGCGGGAGUGCAAGUCAGAUGUGAAAACUAUGGGCUCAACCCAUAGCCUGCAUUUGAAACUGUACUUCUUGAGUGCUGGAGAGGCAAUCGGAAUUCCGGGUGUAGCGGUGAAAUGCGUAGAUAUACGGAGGAACACCAGUGGCGAAGGCGGAUUGCUGGACAGUAACUGACGCUGAGGCGCGAAAGCGUGGGGAGCAAACAGGAUUAGAUACCCCUGUAGUC